AGAGCCUUCAGUUACCAAGCUCCUCUCCUGUGGAACCAGCUUCCAGUUGUGGUUUGGGAGGCAGACACCCUCACCACAUUCAAGAGUAGGCUUAAGACAUUCCUCUUUGAUAAAGCUUAUAGUUAGGGCUGGAUCAGGUGAGUCCUGAACCAUCCCUUAGUUAUGCUGCUAUAGGCCUAGACUAUCGGGGGAUUUCCCAUGGUGCACUGAGCUACUCUCUUCCUCUCUCUUUCUGCACUCAUUCAUGUCCCUUUAAUGCAUGUUACUAACUCCACUUCUUCCCCGGAGUUCUUGUGCUUUCUCGUCUCGCAGGUUCUCAUGGAUCCUGGUGGAGCCUCCUGCCAUGGUCCUGCUUGACUGCCAUUGCCAAUACUGUUGUUGCUGUGCACCUGUCUGUCUGUCUGUCUGUCUGUCGCUCUCUCUCUCUCUCUCUCUCUCUCUCUCUCUCUCUCUCUCUCUCUCUCUCUCUCACCCCAACUGGUCGAGACAGACGACCACCCACCUAGAGCCGGAGGAUCUGUCCUAGGUUUCUGCCUUUUAACAGGCAGUUUUUCCUUGCCCUUGUCGCCAAGUGCUUGCUCAUGGUGGUACUGUUGGGUCUCUGUAAUUAAUGUUAAAGAGUUCGGUCUAGACCUGCUCUAUUUGAAAAGUGUCCUGAGAUAACUUCUGUUAUGAAUUGGCGCUAUACAAAUAAAAUUGAAUUGAAUUGAAAA